rnacentral:rRNA from 1 species
AGCGAACGCUGGCGGCAGGCUUAACACAUGCAAGUCGAACGGGCGUAGCAAUACGUCAGUGGCAGACGGGUGAGUAACACGUGGGAACGUGCCCUUUGGUUCGGAACAACUCAGGGAAACUUGAGCUAAUACCGGAUAAGCCCUUACGGGGAAAGAUUUAUCGCCGAAGGAUCGGCCCGCGUCUGAUUAGCUUGUUGGUGAGGUAACGGCUCACCAAGGCGACGAUCAGUAGCUGGUCUGAGAGGAUGAUCAGCCACACUGGGACUGAGACACGGCCCAGACUCCUACGGGAGGCAGCAGUGGGGAAUAUUGGACAAUGGGCGCAAGCCUGAUCCAGCCAUGCCGCGUGAGUGAUGAAGGCCCUAGGGUUGUAAAGCUCUUUUGGCAGGGACGAUAAUGACGGUACCUGCAGAAUAAGCCCCGGCUAACUUCGUGCCAGCCGCCGCGGUAAGAC